rnacentral:rRNA from 1 species
UACGGGAGGCAGCAGUGGGGAAUUUUGGACAAUGGGCGAAAGCCUGAUCCAGCAAUGCCGCGUGCAGGAUGAAGGCCCUCGGGUUGUAAACUGCUUUUGUACGGAACGAAAAGCCUGGGGCUAAUAUCCCCGGGUCAUGACGGUACCGUAAGAAUAAGCACCGGCUAACUACGUGCCAGCAGCCGCGGUAAUACGUAGGGUGCAAGCGUUAAUCGGAAUUACUGGGCGUAAAGCGUGCGCAGGCGGUUUUUGUAAGACAGUGGUGAAAUCCCCGGGCUCAACCUGGGAACUGCCAUUGUGACUGCAAAGCUAGAGUGCGGCAGAGGGGGAUGGAAUUCCGCGUGUAGCAGUGAAAUGCGUAGAUAUGCGGAGGAACACCGAUGGCGAAAGGCAAAUCCCCUGGGCCUGCACUGACGCUCAUGCACGAAAGCGUGGGGAGCAAACAGGAUUAGAAUACC